AACGAACGCUGGCGGCAGGCUUAACACAUGCAAGUCGAGCGAACCCUUCGGGGUUAGCGGCGGACGGGUGAGUAACGCGUGGGAACGUGCCCUUUUCUACGGAAUAGCCUCGGGAAACUGAGAGUAAUACCGUAUACGCCCUUUUGGGGAAAGAUUUAUCGGAGAAGGAUCGGCCCGCGUUGGAUUAGGCAGUUGGUGGGGUAAUGGCCUACCAAGCCGACGAUCCAUAGCUGGUUUGAGAGGAUGAUCAGCCACACUGGGACUGAGACACGGCCCAGACUCCUACGGGAGGAAGCAGUGGGGAAUCUUAGACAAUGGGGGCAACCCUGAUCUAGCCAUGCCGCGUGAGUGAUGAAGGCCUUAGGGUUGUAAAGCUCUUUCAGCUGGGAAGAUAAUGACUGUACCGGGAGAAUAAGCCCCGGCUAACUCCGUGCCAGCCGCCGCUGUAA
rnacentral:rRNA from 1 species